rnacentral:lncRNA from 1 species
UUACUUUAUACUAUCAUGUCUAAAAUUGACAUUUUAUUUCUCAAAAGCACUUUUUGACAGUAAUACCGAACACGAAAAUUUCUCAAAAGCACUUUUCAAAAGCAAUGAAGAACUGGCCCUCAAAGCUGUCAUGCGAGCCUCUGCCCAUGUCGAGUCGAAACUAUAAAAGGCUUUCAUCGCCAUUUUACCCAAGACCAUAUUGUCCUCGUCUCGUGCUAUACACCCAAGUCCGGUCGUACGCGUGCUAGCAUCCCAUGCAGCAUCAGCAUUAAUUUUCACAUGGCUCGGGCCUAGGGCUCGCCACCAUUCAACCUGCGGCUGCCUUGGCAGAUGAUCAUCAAAUUAUGGACACGAAACUUCUCAUGUAGUGAUAGCGCAAAGUUUAUUGGAGGAGGAGGAGGAGGAGGAGGGGAGUGAGGGUUUGAAAAUAGAAAGAUGAGAUGGGAGAAAAAAGUUAGAGAUUAGGAAUAAUGAAUACUAUACUUUUUUUUCCUUAAAAAAUCCUAUACCGAUGAAUGUGUAAACUUUAUCAAGGUAAAUUAGAUUUUUAUUGACGAAUUUGAAGUAAUCUCCAAUACAUCACACUCUAUGAUAGUUUUAACUUAUAUUGAUACUUAAUAAAUUGUGUUAGUAUACUCCCUUUUUAUUGACAAAUUUAAUCCACAUAUGUUUCAAUUAAUGGAAAAUUUUAAUAGUAUCACAUCAAACAAGUUUGAGGAUCACUAAUACUCAAAUCAACAGGUUUUUUUCAAUACAACUGUUCCUAUAACUCUUUGAAAUUUAUCACAGGAACUAAGAGAAGCAUCAGAAAUUAAUAUGGAAGAAAUAGCAAAGGGAACAACAUCCUCAGAAUACCUGUUUGCAUAGAACAAAGCUACCCUAAAAAGGAAAUGAACCGCCCUUUUAAUAUCCCACCACGUCCAAGGCAAU